UUUAUAUGAGAGUUUGAUCCUGGCUCAGGAUGAACGCUGGCGGCGUGCCUAAUACAUGCAAGUCGAACGAGUUCUGAUUAUUGAAAGAUGCUUGCAUCUUGAUUUAAUUUUGAACGAGUGGCGGACGGGUGAGUAACACGUGGGUAACCUGCCCUUAAGUGGGGGAUAACAUUUGGAAACAGAUGCUAAUACCGCAUAAAUCCAAGAACCGCAUGGUUCUUGGCUGAAAGAUGGCGUAAGCUAUCGCUUUUGGAUGGACCCGCGGCGUAUUAGCUAGUUGGUGAGGUAACGGCUCACCAAGGCAAUGAUACGUAGCCGAACUGAGAGGUUGAUCGGCCACAUUGGGACUGAGACACGGCCCAAACUCCUACGGGAGGCAGCAGUAGGGAAUCUUCCACAAUGGACGCAAGUCUGAUGGAGCAACGCCGCGUGAGUGAAGAAGGCUUUCGGGUCGUAAAACUCUGUUGUUGGAGAAGAAUGGUCGGCAGAGUAACUGUUGUCGGCGUGACGGUAUCCAACCAGAAAGCCACGGCUAACUACGUGCCAGCAGCCGCGGUAAUACGUAGGUGGCAAGCGUUAUCCGGAUUUAUUGGGCGUAAAGCGAGCGCAGGCGGUUUUUUAAGUCUGAUGUGAAAGCCCUCGGCUUAACCGAGGAAGUGCAUCGGAAACUGGGAAACUUGAGUGCAGAAA
rnacentral:rRNA from 2 species